GACUGCGGAAGGAUCAUUACCGAGUGAGGGCCCUCUGGGUCCAACCUCCCCACCCGUGUCUAUCGUACCUUGUUGCUUCGGCGGGCCCGCCGUUUCGACGGCCGCCGGGGAGGCCUUGCGCCCCCGGGCCCGCGCCCGCCGAAGACCCCAACAUGAACGCUGUUCUGAAAGUAUGCAGUCUGAGUUGAUUAUCGUAAUCAGUUAAAACUUUCAACAACGGAUCUCUUGGUUCCGGCAUCGAUGAAGAACGCAGCGAAAUGCGAUAAGUAAUGUGAAUUGCAGAAUUCAGUGAAUCAUCGAGUCUUUGAACGCACAUUGCGCCCCCUGGUAUUCCGGGGGGCAUGCCUGUCCGAGCGUCAUUGCUGCCCUCAAGCACGGCUUGUGUGUUGGGCCCCCGUCCCCCUCUCCCGGGGGACGGGCCCGAAAGGCAGCGGCGGCACCGCGUCCGGUCCUCGAGCGUAUGGGGCUUUGUCACCUGCUCUGUAGGCCCGGCCGGCGCCAGCCGACACCCAACUUUAUUUUUCUAAGGUUGACCUCGGAUCAGGUAGGGAUACCCGCUGAACUUAAGCAUAUCAUAA
rnacentral:rRNA from 1 species